rnacentral:sRNA from 1 species
UCGAACGAUCUGGAGAGGUGCGAGGACUGUCGCUGUGACCACCGGGGCGCAUGCACGUCUUUUCGCUGAUCCAUCGCUAUCACACACACCCGCGUGCACCCUUUGUAGGUCCUCGAGAGAGGCUCUACGUUUUCAUACAUUCUCUGCGUCGCAUGUCCCAUGAAAACGAAGGAGAUAGUUUGUAUACAACUUUCAACGACGGAUCUCUUGGCUCUCGCAUCGAUGAAGAACGCAGCGAAUCGCGAUAUGUAAUGUGAAUUGCAGAUAUUCAGUGAAUCAUCGAAUCUUUGAACGCACCUUGCGCUCCUUGGUAUUCCGAGGAGCAUGCCUGUUUGAGUGUCAUUGAAUUCUCAACCGUGCGUCUUUGUCGAGACGCACGGCUUGGACUUUGAGGGCUUGUCGGCCUGGUCCGUUCGUGCUGGCGAACGUUCUCGGAGUCCGACUCUCUUGAAAUGCAUUAGUGGAUCGACGUGCGAUGGACGGUAUGGUCCGAGACGUGUGCAUGCAUGGCCUCGUCGACGUGAUUAUGAUCGUCGUCAGGGUCUGGGCAUGAUCUGGACUGGAGCCCCCUCCUCGCAUGCCUUGUUCGCUUCCAACCAAGGAUGCCUCUCUUUUGACGU